UUUAUGCGAGGAGGAGGCUACCGAGAUUAAUACUCUUGGAUAGUGGACGUUACUCGCAGAAUAAGCACCGGCUAACUCUGUGCCAGCAGCCGCGGUAAUACAGAGGGUGCAAGCGUUAAUCGGAUUUACUGGGCGUAAAGCGCGCGUAGGUGGCCAAUUAAGUCAAAUGUGAAAUCCCCGAGCUUAACUUGGGAAUUGCAUUCGAUACUGGUUGGCUAGAGUAUGGGAGAGGAUGGUAGAAUAAGGGCGAAUUCGUUUAAACCUGCAGGACUAG
rnacentral:rRNA from 1 species